CCAACCCUUCUACGUCUUUUCGUACGCGUUCGCUUCUCCGUUCGUGUAUCCAACGAAAUUGUUUUUCGUUUUACGAUCGUCUUGUUUUGAAUACGUUGCACUCAGAAGUAUGAAGAUAACGGGGACGUUCAUAAAAAUGUGUCGGUUUGACAACAUCGUGAGUGUUAACAAAUGGACAUGGUACAAAGAAAUUAAUUGAUCCUGGAUAGGUAGGUCUAUAAUGUAAACUUCUACCUAAACCAUUGAACCAAUUUAGGACAGUUUCAAGGAGCUCACUUGCGUGGUUUGUCUAACUCAGUCUUGAUAGUCUUUCAAAACAGAGGGAACGAAGUAAGCAACUACCAUGCGUACACUAAUUGAGAAAACUUCUCCUUAAACUCCUAUUAUGGACCUCGUGUGAGUCACUUUUACAACGAAAUUGAUACAGACUUACACAACAGAGUGAACGAAGUAAGUUACCUUUAAGUUCCACAAAACGAACGUGUCCGCAUAUAUAUUUGACAUUAGGGCACUCUUAGGAAUGAUGUCGUUCAAACCAAUUUUGAAGACCGCUACCUUUGUUCUAACUACUAUUGAACGCCCAACCAUAACCGUUACGCGUAGUAACAAACACGGAAAACAAACAGGCAAAUACUGUGACCAAAUUGGAAUAGUAACGACUAACUUCACGUGGAAUUAUUAUUUGUUGUACAGUGCCCCUGUAACUUUGUAAUACUAGAUGCGAUAUUACAACGUCAACAACUCUAGUACCCAAGGAUGUCAAGAACACGUCACCUACACCUUCUCGCAUAAAGAAAGUGGGGAUUAUAACUCCAAAAUCGACAUCCCGCAGAGAAACUUGCAGGUUUUAAUUACCGGAGUUCUCCCCACAAUUAACUGUCUUUUUCGUUUGAACGAACGCUUCUCGAACCCUAAAGGUGAACAUUUUAGUGGUUCCGACCCUAACCUCCCGGAGAAUAACUACGAACACCCUUAAACUAACCGUACUUAAAGAAGGUACUACUUCUUUGAGGUAUGGAUGGCUCCCUUUUUUAAGUCCUUCAGAACCCUAUAAAACUACUUGUUACGUACAGCUUACUGUCAACCAGACUUGGUUCUCUAGCAAUAAUAUAUGGUCGAAAGAUGAGAUAUGGCAUACCAAACAAGCCUCUACUCAUGAAACUAUUGUUUUUCCUACGUAUAAGAGGCAGAGGCAACAAAAAAUAACAAGUGCUCCCACGUAUACUUCAGCCCACGUCUUUGAAGUACAAGCAUACACAGUCGUAAUACCCGAUACCGAUAAGUACU
rnacentral:rRNA from 1 species